rnacentral:lncRNA from 1 species
UGGAUUCAAGACGGAGAUAAUCUCAGACUCGCCUUGCCUGUAAGUAACUCUUCACCCCCUUCUUUUCUUCUUCUUCUUCUUCUGCAUAUUACCAUCGAUCGAUUAUCUGAAUCUUUGUUGGUUACAGAACGACGUCGAUGCAGGUGUGCUGAGAAAAGUGGUGUUAGCAGAUGGAGCAACAGUGACAGUGAAAGGAGCAAGAUCCGUUAGUCUUAAACACCCAAUCGAAUUCCAAUUACCUGUCAAUCAUACCCAUCCCUAUCGAUUUAUCAGUCUUUCAGCAUUAUCCGAAGCGAUUCGCCAAGAUUCAAGAACAGUAAGCUCCAACAAACACCAUCCUCUCGUUUCCCUUCGUAUCGAAGGACCAACUUCAAUAACGACAUCUUCA